GUCUUUUGCUACCACGCUACCCUGCAGACCCUGAUUCACCAGGCAGCAAAAAAAUAAAAAUAGCUACCACACUGCCAGGUGAAUCAGGUGUUUUGCAGGGUAGCACGGUAGCAAAAGAC